GAUGAACGCUGGCGGCGUGCCUAAUACAUGCAAGUCGAGCGAACGGACGAGAAGCUUGCUUCUCUGAUGUUAGCGGCGGACGGGUGGGUAACACGGGGGUAACCUUACUAUUAGACUUGGGUAAAUUCGGGAAACCGGGGCUAAUACCGGGUAAUAUUUUGAACCGCAUGGUUCAAAAAUGAAAAAAGGUCUUGCUUUCACUUAUAGAUUGAUCCGCGCUGCAUUAGCUAGUUGGUAAGGUAACGGCUUACCAAGGCAACGAUGCAUAGCCGACCUGAGAGGGUGAUCGGCCACACUGGAACUGAGACACGGUCCAGACUCCUACGGGAGGCAGCAGUAGGGAAUCUUCCGCAAUGGGCGAAAGCCUGACGGAGCAACGCCGCGUGAGUGAUGAAGGUCUUCGGAUCGUAAAACUCUGUUAUUAGGGAAGAACAUAUGUGUAAGUAACUGUGCACAUCUUGACGGUACCUAAUCAGAAAGCCACGGCUAACUACGUG
rnacentral:rRNA from 1 species